AAACACUGAAACCUUACAGAUUGGGAAAUGAAUCGUGGGCUUUCUUUGGCCCAACACUAUACACGUGCCAUUAAGCCGACAUGUCGUACAGUCAACCACGAUAUAUUAAUUAAUGAAUCUCCCUUCUCCAACGCGUACCUUAUUGUUUCGUGAAUUUUUUCUAAUUUGCCACGUAUGCAAAUUUUAUGAGGUUCCAUGUGAGCGAGCACACACGAUCUCCGCCCCCGACUAUAUAUAUGGAAAUGUAAAAGGCGGGAACCAGAGAUGUAGGGAUGGUCUGAGUUUUGAGUGAGAAUUUCUCUGUGGCGAAAGAAAUGAGGAACGACGAUUAUUCUUUAGAGCGUUUUUACCUUUGGCCUCGUCGGCGCCGCGACAUCCACUUCCUUCGCCGUGUGGUUUACGCUAUUCGUAUGUUUGGAUUGCUUUCAGGAACUGGAUGAUCGGAAGCUUUGGAGGAUAUUUUUCUCUGGAAUAAUCAGCGUCACAGCGUCCAUUAUUGCCGAACUGAUCCUGGGGGAUACGAUUCAAUCAUUCCACUUAGAUGGUUGGUAUAGGGUGACUGACACAUCACGCAGCAAUUGGUAGAUUGACUAUACAGGGACUCCAAGUGAGAGUAUGUGACAUUAUCACUGCUCAGUUUCAGGUCUGGACAGACUGCAUUUGGAGCCAAGGCAAAGCAGUAUCACCCGUAUCAAAACCAGGAAAUAAAGGUGUGAUGGGAAAUCUUUGCCAUUGACUCUUGGAGAAGGCAGGGCAUUAGCAGAUUAGCAUCUUGAAUCGUCCCAAGUGGAGCAAACUGGGUUAGUUGGGACAACUGACUUCGAUGGGAAGAAAAAGCAACGGCAGCUAGAAGGAAAAUCUUUGGAGCCAAAACGGUUUGCCAGAGCCCCUGAUCCAAUCAUCCAAGUGUCAUCUUACAACAGGUGGAGCUCUGUAAUAAGCUGCAAUGGUUUUGGGGAAAAACAUCUGCCUCACACCUUCAGCCUUGAUAAUGGGAAAUAUAAUGGCCGAUGCACCCUACAUACACCACAUGCAAAGGUUAGAAUUCUAUCUAAUGCCAUAUGGAUUGAUUAUCAAGCACUCUAAAAAUGAUUUAAAGCAUUUUAGAACCAUUUUUUAUUUUAAGAAUCGCAUACUUUUUAAAUGAUCUUCGUCAAAUUUUAAAAAUAUUAAAUAAAUAAAUAAUUUUUCAAACGUAUGUUUUUCCAGUUCUGAAACUUAAGCGAACUAUUUACUAGUUUUUUCCUAUAUGGGAAUGGUUAAAAAUUUGGACACGAUUUUAUAAGCAAAAAUAAUAAUAACAAAUAAGACAUUGAUAACUAUCCCCGUCCUUUUUAUCCGAUGACCAAUUAAAUUCUAAAAAAAGUAUCUGAUGACCAAUUAAAUUCUGUUCCUUAAAAAAUAAAAAAGCAGAGUUGAACUUGCAAGUAAAUUUAUAAAAUCUAGGAAGGUAAUUUCUACAAAUAGAUUUUGGUUCUAUUACUUAUAAGCUUAUGUUUCUCUCUAACACUAUUUCUUUAUGUUUUCCUAACUUCUCUCUAAUUAUCUCUUUCGUCAAUUAAUAUGCUUAUGUAUCCUGUUUAAAAAAGGAUAAGCUUUCUAAUGUGGCUAUUUUAGCAUUUUUUUUCU